UCAACAAACAACUCCAUUAAUCGAGGAGAUGAUCAUAAUGUGUAAUUUCUGCGUUCUGGAGUGCGCGGAUCCGUAGCCGGUCCAUGGGGAAGCUUGCUUGAAUUUCUGGCCCUGAAAUCGUUAAGAGAACGUGUAGUAUACUAAGUUCUGACGGCGCCUGCUCGUUUCAGGGAUGCAAAAUGAAAGGCAAAAAACGACUUGAACGUGCGCCACAUAUAGGUUAGGUUCUACUUGGAAACCUGCACAGAUUCAUUGCUGGAUAUAGUCUCGUGAGGCGAGACCCGUAAUUCUGUCCUCACCUCAGCUGAGGCACGGGCCUCAAAGAUUUUGAAGAGUUUGAUUGGCUAUCCAAGCUUGGCAAGCCAAUUUCGAUUUGUUUCAAUAGAGGAUUACUAUUGCCAGCGCAUGUCAUAUAUCUUUUGAAAAAUGAGGAGGUUGCCUUGUUGCACCCCACAAGCCAGCUGUAAAGUGUGGUACGUCUGAAAUGAGUCACAGCAAAUUUAGUAUCUCUUCUUAAUAUUUUGGUACUGCAUGCAACUCACAAAUAUUUCUUACCUGCCGAAUAUGUCAUUACGUGCUGUGACGUCAUCACAGCAACUGUAUGAAUGUAACUUGUAGUUUAACUUCUAGUACAAUGAAUUGUGCUUCCAUGUAUCUCUCUCUUCCAACAUGUCUGUGCUGUAAACCCUGAUAUAGAUUCUGAACUGUGGCUUUAAAGAACUAAAAUACUGUGCUUUAGUUUUAAUUUUGACCAGUUAACAUGAGUUUAGAAUAUAACUAGAACAAACUUGUGGGAAAUAAAGAAGUAUUUGUGGAAAAAAAGAA